UCUGGGACAAGCCCUGGAAACGGGGUCUAAUACCGGAUACCACCUUCACUGGCAUCUGUGAAGGUUGAAAGCUCCGGCGGUGAAGGAUGAGCCCGCGGCCUAUCAGCUUGUUGGUGAGGUAAUGGCUCACCAAGGCGACAACGGGUAGCCGGCCUGAGAGGGCGACCGGCCACACUGGGACUGAGACACGGCCCAGACUCCUACGGGAGGCAGCAGUGGGGAAUAUUGCACAAUGGGCGAAAGCCUGAUGCAGCGACGCCGCGUGAGGGAUGACGGCCUUCGGGUUGUAAACCUCUUUCAGCAGGGAAGAAGCGAAAGUGACGGUACCUGCAGAAGAAGCGCCGGCUAACUACGUGCCAGCAGCCGCGGUAAUACGUAGGGCGCAAGCGUUGUCCGGAAUUAUUGGGCGUAAAGAGCUCGUAGGCGGCUUGUCACGUCGGGUGUGAAAGCCCGGGGCUUAACCCCGGGUCUGCAUUCGAUACGGGCUAGCUAGAGUGUGGUAGGGGAGAUCGGAAUUCCUGGUGUAGCGGUGAAAUGCGCAGAUAUCAGGAGGAACACCGGUGGCGAAGGCGGAUCUCUGGGCCAUUACUGACGCUGAGGAGCGAAAGCGUGGGGAGCGAACAGGAUUAGAUACCCUGGUAGUCCACGCCGUAAACGGUGGGAACUAGGUGUUGGCGACAUUCCACGUCGUCGGUGCCGCAGCUAACGCAUUAAGUUCCCCGCCUGG
rnacentral:rRNA from 1 species